CAGACAUCUACCCAAAGCCGAAGCCGCCCUAUCCCCCCCAGCCGGGGCAUCCUGGCAACAGCGGAGACAUCUACCCAAAGCCGAAGCCGCCCUAUCCCCCCCGGCCUGGACAUCCUGGCAACGGCGGAGAUGUCUACCCCUACCCAAGGCCAAAGCCCCCUGUUCACCCGCAGCCUGGCUCCUAUGACAACAGCGGAGGUUUCCUGAGUGACAGGGACCUCAAUGACGGCCGAUACCCGCCCAGGCCCAGGCCGCCUGCAGGAGGCGGUGGCGGCGGCGGCGGCUACCACCCCAGUCACGGCGGCUACGGAAACCCAUCCGGAGGAGGGCGGUACAGACCUGGCUCCCAUGGGAGUAAUUACGGUGGGGGCGACUACUCCACGUACGGGAACCCACAAGGCAACACGAUAGCGAAAAUCGUUUCUCCCAUAGUGUCCGUGGUGGUGGUGACGCUGGUGGGGGCGGCGGCCAGCUAUUUCCAGUAUAACCGGAGGAGGAACUGUUUCCGGACAAAUGAGCCACAGAACGUCUGAGGUCUUCGCAAUUCCCCGGAUCACGCUGAGGAAAGCUCCAGACAGACAGGACCCCCGCUUAUCACCCCCCCGCUCCAACCCCGUGGACAGUCCCUUUCAUUCUUGGCUUAACCUGUGGCCCUGGAGGGGUUUCUCUUCAACGUGCUGCCUGUCAACCAAUUCCUGACUCCUCGGACACGUCGCCUGGAGUAAGGUAGACAGCCAGACCUUGGCUUGUAAAAAGAUUGCUUGAUGCAUUGGCCUCAUCGUGAAUCCUGGACAGAGAGAGUCUGACUCUGGUUGGAACUGCAAAGCUGCCCCCUGGGACAACCACAGGCUAGUGGCCGUGGCCAUUGUCCCCAGGCACAGGGGCGGCAAAAUGGCACCGGGGCUGCGGUGGGAAGGCCAUGGGGUUUGCAGGGAUGGAGAAUGCUGUUGGGUUUCCAGCCAGCUGGGGUGUGACGCUUGGCCGGGGUUAAGUUCUGUCCUUAAGUCAGAAAUCUGGACCUGUUCACGCAACCUGUGCAUGGGGAGUGAAUGGUUUCUGACCCUGACGGCCGGGUUUGAGCCUCAUGGCAGCUCCCACUCGUCUACACUCAAAACUACCGUUACCUGCGGAAGACGAGGUUUGGAAUUUUAAGUGCAAAAUCGCUGAGGGGGAAGCCGUCUUGGGGCAGCGAUCUUGGGGUGCUCUUUUCCUAUGAAAUUGUACAGUUUUGAUAUUUGUGAACACGGGGUAGAAGCCGUGCUGUGCAGAUGUCAGGGCUUUUCCUGUUUUGUGUUUCCGCUUUGACUUUCCGUGGGUACCAGUGCUCGCAGCCACGGCAGUGCUUUUCUUGGUGUUUACUUGUCUUUGUACAGGUGUAGACAGUCUUCCAGCCGCAAACAUCUGAAAGACCUAUGCGCUGUUUGCUCCUAUUUUAGUAACACUUUAGGGCAGAGGAAACAGGAUGGUUUGGGUUAAAAAAAAAAAAAAAAGGAGUUCCCGUUGCAGCUCAGCAGUUAAUGAACCUGACUAGCAUCCAUGAGGAUGCAGGUUCCAUCCCUGGCCUUGCUUAGUGGGUUAAGGAUCCAGUGUUACUGUGGCUGUGGUGUAGGCCGGCAGCUGCAGCUCUGAUCUGACCCCUAGCCCGGGAAC
ensembl:lncRNA